UUUUGAGACCUAGUAUGUUUUUUGUGAUUUAUCAAGCAAUACAUCUUUUAGUUAUAGGAUAGCUGAACACAAGACCUAGUAUGUUUUUUGUGAUUUAUCAAGCAAUACAUCUUUUAGUUAUAGGAUAGCUGAACACAUAUCUUGUUAGCUAUAUAGAUAUAAAACUUACUUGUGAAUUAAGGCUUAGGAAAAAUUGUCUCAAUAAAUACAUGUACUACUGUUUCAUUAAUUCAAUGAUUAAAUGUCUUUGUGACGAGGCAGUGGUGGAUCCAGGGGGAGGGUUCUGGGGGUUGGAAUCCCCUUUUUUUUGGCCGAUCAAUGCAUUUGUAAGGGGACAGAGUUGGAACCCCCCUUUGUCCUGGGUUGGAACCCCACCCCCCUUUUUAAAAUGGCUGGAUCCGCCCCUGAUGAGGGGGAGGUUUUUUUACGACCUUGACUAUUCAUUAGGAUCUUGUACAGUCGAUGACUCCAUGCUAACAAUUAUAACUUAAAAGGAUAAAAAAAAAAAAAUUAUAAAUAUUUUUUUUUACUCUAGUAGCUUAGGCCAAUAUUGAAUAUCAGAAAUGUCUUUGUGAAUAUCAGUACAUAAUUUUAAUGGUAAAUUUUACAAUAACUAAUUUGUUGAUUUACAUGCCACACACACACAGUCACACAUUCAUUACCUCUAAUCAUGCAUUUUAUUGUAUGGUAAACUUUGUGUUCACAGUAGAAGUAGUACACAUAUUUGUUCACACCAAAACACAAUACUCUUAGUUCCCAAUGAGUGGUUAAGUCAAACACUGAUAGCUUUAGGACUGAAGAGCUUGCAUUUUACAUUCCAAUUCCUGAGGAGAGGAUACACUUUAUAAAAUCUCAAAAUCAAGUAUUAAAUAUAAGUGUGGCUUUGGUUAUCAGUUCACACUUAAUUUGGCACUGAAAAACAUAAAGUCAGCAAAAACACAGCCAUUCAAUUGGUUGCAAUUAGAAAAAAGUGACUCCUAUAACCAAUGUUAUGCAGCAAUACAUAAAUCAGUCAGCUGUGAAUCAAUUUAUUUUUCUAAAAAAAACAUUUUUUAAUACACACAUGGCUCUAAGCAUUCCUAAAGAAGAUAAAUCAAGGAAACAUACAUUAUAUAAGAAUGUUUAAUUAUAAUGGACUUUUUUUUAAUUUUUAUUAUUUUAAAAUAGUAAGGUAAAUGCAACUCUUUUCACCAAAAAUUUAACAAGAAAAAUACUUGACAGUCUUGAAUUUUUCAGUAAAAGUAACGCUUGGAUUUUGAUUGUUAGAUUUUUUGUGAAAAGGGUUCUUGGGCUAGAAAUUUAAUAAAAUUAUGAUAUAUAUUAGAGGUUAUAGACGACCUGCUUUUAAAAAUAAAUUAUAAGAAUUGAUAUGAUAUAAUUAUAUUUUGUAUUCAGACUUGAAGCUCUUGAUGGACGCACUUGCAAUUUUUUUAAGAUAUUUUGGUUUGAAAAAAAAUAUAUUUCAAUAGUGAUUAUAAGUGUAUUGAAUGAAACAUUGAUAAUUUUUUUAUUUGCAAAAUUAUUUUUUUGAAGAUCCAAAUCAUAUAUUUUUAUGACAUGAAUGGGCAAAAUGAAAGAAAAAUAAAUAAUUUUGUCAAAAGAAGAAUAAUUGUUAGAUAUACCGGUAUACAAUAAAACUGAGAUAGAAAUUCUCAAUCCAUGUAUUUGUUUAUGCAUAAUAUAUGUAUUUUUGUUGGAGAAGUUUACACAGUUUUAUAACAAGCUGGUUAUGUUUUUGUGGUCGUCAUACAUAAUGUCAAUAAACUAUAUACAAUAUUG